CAGAGUCUGCUGGUACGGUAUGGAUAGGCACUACAUAUGAUGGCAUGAUGAGGAAUGUUAAGACUGCAGAAAUGUGUGUUUUUGGAGACUUCAUCCAUGCACUAUGAUACAGAUAAAUCGUACCAUAGUGAUGGAAGGUUGCGCACCAAUUUACACAACAGUUAUUUUUAAUGAUUCGUGCAAAGUGGCAACAAAAAGCAGAUGGUGCCAAGUAAUAGCAGGGAGUGAAUAACUUUUCGUCGGCUAACGGUCGGUCGGCCGUCUAACCGAUCCAGUGUAUGACUACGUAAAGAACUACAAUUCCCCAGACUAAAGAAGCUCGACACCAUUCAGUCACAGAACUACAAAGAAUACAACAUACGCAUAUUGACGCCAAAAUAAUGUAGAAAUCAGUGAUGGCACCAGGGGCGCUUUGCACAUACCUAGACCCCCAUUGUUCGACACUUAAACAAGGUCUAAUAAGUAGUUAGACGAUUACGGAACUUAGCCUACAAAAAGCAGCCGCAUAAUGGAAGAUUUCUGUUGCGCACGUGCUAUGAACGACUUGCAGCUACGCAAGACUUGUCUCUGUUUUUUGUGCCUAUUUGUUUGUAUUUGUUUGUUUGUACAUGCAAUAAGUGUUUUAUAGCCACUAUUUACUGUUAUUAAUCUAAAAAAUUCUCUAUUUCUUUAUUGCAUACAAUUGGACAGAGUAAAUCCAGUUAUCUGAAUGGACGGUUUCCUGGUGUGUACGAAUAGACACUACAUGUGAUUACAUGAUGUGGAAGAAUAAUGAUAUUCUGCGUUGCGAUGUCAGUUGUGCGCUAUAAUUGAUCUUUAACAGAUAAAUUAUACCAUGAAGAAAAUUUCUCAAGUUGCUCAACAAUCAUUGUUAACGGUGUGCUCAAUAAGUAGAUGGUGCUGCCUUGUCAUCUUUCACAGAGCAGAUACAAACUACCAAACUACAUAAUUUUCAGUUAUUGGAAUAGACAUGUGGAAUGACCAAAUUCUUUAUGAUUUGCGGUACGGUAUGGAUAGACAUUACAUGUGAUGCCAUCAAUCAACAGAUGCACUGAUGUUUAAAUAACAUAGAACGAACAAUUUUCCAAAUAAAGAAAGGGCACCCAUGAUUCGACGUCGGUAUGGAUAGACAUUACAUGUGAUGACAUCAAUCAACAGAUGCACUGAUGUUUAAAUAACAUAGAACGAACAAUUUUCCAAAUAAAGAAAGGGCACCCAUGAUUCGACGUCAUGAUUGGGUCAUCUUCAGGAAUGACAUGUGGAAUGUUUAGACUGGACUAAAUAUGCUGCAUUGAUAAUGACAUCUGUUGUACGCUACGGCAGUUUUGAAACUUAACGACUGAAAAUCCAUGACUCAAUUGUUGCUGAUGUGAGGCGGACUCCUGGAGAUGGACCGUGAAGUGGGCCAUG